CCUACGGGAGGCAGCAGUGAGGAAUAUUGGUCAAUGGGCGAGAGCCUGAACCAGCCAAGUAGCGUGAGGGAAGACGGCCCUACGGGUUGUAAACCUCUUUUGUAAGGGAAUAAAGUGAGGCACGUGUGCCUGGUUGAGGGUACCUGAAGAAAAAGCAUCGGCUAACUCCGUGCCAGCAGCCGCGGUAAUACGGAGGAUGCGAGCGUUAUCCGGAUUUAUUGGGUUUAAAGGGAGCGUAGACGGGUUGUUAAGUCAGUGGUGAAAGUCUGCGGCUCAACCCUCAAAUGGCCGUUGAUACUGGCAGUCUUGAGUACAGUUGAGGUAGGCGGAAUUCGUGGUGUAGCGGUGAAAUGCUUAGAUAUCACGCAGAACCCCGAUUGCGAAGGCAGCUUACUAACCUGCCACUGACAUUGAGGCACGAAAGUGUGGGUAUCAAACAGGAUUAGAUACCCGAGUAGUC
rnacentral:rRNA from 1 species